UUUUCCUGUUUUUGUAAAACAAAAUUGCGUUUUUUGUUUGCAGGAGGAUCAUAGGCCCGCAGUUGUAGAAGACGAUGACUCCUAUUAUGUUGAGGAUUUAGAUGAUGAUUAUCGUGAUGGUGAUCAAGUGGAAGACCGGACUUAGUGGCGUCGACCUGAACUCAGUUUUUUGUCAAACCAACUCCCGUGCCUCACUGUGAGGUUCCAAACGGGUCAAGCUUUAAGACUUCACGAGUGGUUUUGAAUACACCAUUUUGAAUUUUGAUCAAGUGUAUGAAUGUUUUGGUUUAAGACUGGUUUUGUUAUUGGGUUUAAUCUCGUAAUUAUGUUAUGUUUUUGUACUUAAGCAUGACAUUGACUUAUGUAUAUAUAAGUAUAAUGAUUGGACUCAUGUGUAUAUGUAUACACAUAAAGGCUUGUUUUUGUUCA